GCCAGGCUGUGUCUUUCAGUCCGCUAGUACAUUUUUAAAUGAAAUCGGGUGAGCCCGUGUUUGGUGCGUAUAUGUUUAGGAUAGUAAUGUCUUGCUUAAUUGUUCUCUUGGUUAGAAUUAAGUGUCCUUCUUUGUCGCUUCUAGUCUAUUUUGACUUAUAUUAGAACGGCAAUGCCAGUUGCUGCCUAGUCCCCUGUCUCGUUUGACUGGAGAGUCUUUACCCAUCCUGUUACUCUAAGGCAGUGUGUAGUGUCUAUCUUUAAAACUGAAAAUGUGUUUCUUGUAGGCAACAGGUAGAUGGAUUUUGUUUCUUGAUCCAUUAAGCCAGCAUGUUAUUUAAUUGGAGAAGUGAGAUCAUCUAUAUUUAAAGUUAAUAUUUAAAAGUCUGUGCUGACUGGAGCCAUUAUGUUGUUGAUUUUUGGUGGUAUUAUGUUCUUGGUACUUUGUGCUUUUGUGAUGAUGGCUUUGUUUUUCUUUCAACAGUCUCUUAGCUACGCUCAUUUCUCUCUGCAGCCUGACAUACAGCUUCCUGUAUUUUCUUUGAGUGUUGUUUGUGGGAUAUAAAAAUGUCAGGCUGUGUAUAGCAUGGGGAAUUUUUCUUUCUUUCAGCUAAGGCAGAUAGUUUCCCUGGACAAAUUAGUCUAGGCUGUCAUUGUGUGGAUGUUUUUAGCACUCUUACUGCAUUGUUCCAAGAUCUUCUGGCUUUCCAAGUUUCCACUGAGAAAUCCUUUGUUAUUUUAAUAAGUUUUCCUUUUGAGUGACUUGCUACCUUUCUUUUGUAGCUUUCAAUACACUUCCCUUGUUCUGUGUACUUAGUGUUUUAACUAGCAUACACUGAGUAUUUCUGGUCUGGUCUAUCUGGUGUUCUGUGUGCUUCUUCUAUUUGUAUGGGUGCAUCUUUCCUUAGUUUGGGGACUUGUUCUAUGACGCAGAUGUGAUUGAAAGAGGGAGCCACAUUCCAGACCCACCAAGCAGAACUGACAAGCUUUCGCCACAUGGUUCUGGCUUUAGAGUCAAGGAUACAAGAAAGGAGUUAUGGAAUCUCCCUCCAUGGCUAAGGAAAGCCACUGAGGCCAGGCUUGUCUCAGGGGUGUCCCUGCAUUGGAGGACAUUGCAGAUGAGUCAUUGCGUGCUGCUGUGAAGAAUAGUAGACUGAGAUCUCUACAUGAAGAAGAAGGGCAGAAGGAGGGCUGGAAGACAGAUGUGGGACAUGUGCUCCUGUGGGAUCUGUCCCAGGACCUGGCCCAUCCUAAGAAAAAAUUCUGACACCAUGGAAGGAGGGAAAGAAGCUCUCAGACAGCUUCAGAGAAGUUGUUUUGUACAAGUGAUUGGUGGCUAAUGCAGAAACUCCCAUCUGGUUAGACUGCACAAAGUAAGUGUCUAUGGAUUGCCCACAAAACAUCAAACAUGUCACACACUCUCCCCCCAAGCUCAAGUUCCAUAACAGAAGAGGGGGAUCAAGAGAUUUGAAGAGGCAGAAGACAUUCGCACCAGAGCAAUGUAGUGUUUGAGGGACAUGAAAUGGUUAUUAGACUCAUGAACACACAGUAGGUGUCUUUACCCCCAUGAGACCUGCACAAGAUCAAGCCUGCCAGCACUCUGGCAUGGACUGAGUGGGAUCUCUUGUGCUCUUAAAAGUACGUGGCUUUUGUGGGAGGAAGACUCCAUUUUAAGAAUAUGGCCCCUGGUAGGUCAACCAUACUCUAGUGGAUGGUUCUACAUACAACAGUAUGUAGAUAGCACAAAUUGGCCUUGGGAUUUUUCUUUUUAAAAAAUAAAAAUAAAAAAGAUAUGGAUGUUGGGAGUAAAACAGCUAGGAAAGAUGUUUUAUUUUCAUUGGAUGAAAGGGUGGGGUAUGUGUGAAUAUGAUUAAAAUCAAUUAUAUAAAAUCCUCAAAGAAUUAAAUAAAUACCACAUUGACAAACAAUAACUUAUGUUAAGGAAUAGGAAUUAGAUUGCAGCCAACCUGCAACGUCAGAAUCAUUCUCUCCAGAGGCAAGGCUUCCUUCUACAUUAUGAAUACUUAUUGUCACUGAUGUCAGCUAUAAAAGAGAAUCAGAGAAAAGGCAUUUUGGCAAAUAGUAAUCUUCAGGGAGUGUUUCUGCUACUUGAUAUAGGGUAUUCCAAUUUGCUGGAUAAUAUUUAGGACAGGGCCUGACAAAUAAAUAAAAUCAUCACACACUAAAAUUAACCAGAUCCUUAAAGAUUCAAUAACUAUAACUAUAUGGACUAACUAACUAUAUAUAACUCUAUGAAAGAUACAGUUAGAAUUGGCAUUUGAAACAGCAUGUGAAGCUACACAUUAAAAUUUACACUUUAAGUAUCAAAUAUAUAUUUAUACACCAAUCAAAAAGAAAACUAUGUCAACAAUGUGGACAUGAAAAAAGAAAAAAAAAGAGAGAAGGCUGGCGAGAUGGCUCAGGGGUUAAGAGCACUGACUGCUCUUCUGAAGGUCCUGAUUCAAAUCCCAGCAAUCACAUGGUGGCUCAAGCCAUCUGUAAUAAGAUCUGUUGCCCUCUUCUGGGGUGUCUGAAGACAGCAAUAGUGUACUUACAUGUAAUAAUACAUAAGUCUUUAAAAAAAACCAACGUGGACAUAAACUGAGGGACAAACAGGGUGCAGUUCUAGAGAAAGAGAUGAUACUUGCCUUCAUUCGUUUUCUCAGUGUCACACCAAAAGAUCCUUCAAAGCAUUCAUCUACAGAUAGUGACAAAUCAGAAGGUUUUGUUUGUUAGUAAAUAUUCCAAAGGCUCAGACUCUUGCUGAUUUAGGGAAGGCUAGAGUGGAGAGUGGGCCCAUUCAUGGAGGAGGAGCUAGUGGAGCCUGGCUCUCUUUCAUCUGACCAAUGACAGGUGCCCUUUUAGAAGUCUCCUUCUGAUUGGUUAGGAAGUGUCAGCUAAGCCUCAUCACUGCCUCAUCCCCUCACAAGCUGGUAGGACACAGGACAUUCUGACUCUCUUUGAAGGUGUUACACAUUGGCCAUUUACAUAUUAUCCAGUAUAAUGUACACAAUAAUGUUUUAGAAUUGUGCAUGACAGGAUCUUCUACAUAAUCCUCAGAGUGAGCUCUGUUCCACACAACCCUGAUCUGAACAAGAAAAGAGCUGCCUAUCACCUUAGCAUGCAUCCUGACUGAGUAGGUGUACUUUCACAGCCCCUCCCUGAUCACUCACCUUCACUGUCAUGAUCUUCAAUGCCUUCGACCAGGGAUUGCUUGUCCUGCUCCUUGCCGCGCAUGAAAACUGGUUGGUUCACAGUGACACCUAAGAGGAAGCAGAGUGCUUGUUCUUUAACAGGCAGCACAACGAGGGGAAAUGGUGCCUUGAACUGGGUGACAGCCCAGAUCUUAAGGCCCAUAAGAGGCCGGCACUCUAUUGCCUAUGAUCUAUGCUGUCAGCUCUGCAAAGGGUGGAAAAGAGCAGCUGCCGGAUCGACAAGCACCUUGACAUUUCUCAGGAAUGAAAGGUAUCAUGGGAGAGGGCCCUGCUACAGUUUGAGAAGAUGUGGCAUAGCAAACAAACUGGGAACCACCAGACUGGUCUGAACCCAGAUUUCAUCUUACCUAGGUCAGUCAUUCUGAUGUAGUUUCUUUUCAUGUACACGUAGGCACUUUUCUGCCAUUGAGUCAGCUUUCCCCACUCUUCAUCAGAGAAGUAUGUAGAAAUAUCCUGGAAGGCCUAGAAAAGAAGGGAAUGAAAACUCUGGCAACUGCUCUCCUGGAUGUGUGUACCAUUCAUCCCAGAAUGCCCUCUGUGGUGGAGGACCUUUGUGGUCCACCAGAGAAUCAACACAAUUGAUACUGGGAAUGGAGUGUUGGAGACCCAAAUAAGCACCUUGAUUCAGCCGUUACUAGAGACUCAGCAACCAGGCAACCAAACCCUUUGAAUUCCUCAGGGAACUGAUGGAGGAAAUGCGGUAAGAACGGAAUGUUGGAGCCCAGGGUUCCAUGCAGGAAGUACAUCACCAAAGGGAUGUACUAAAUAUCCCCACUAUAGUAUGAUGAUUCCUCCUCCCCCAUCCCCUGCAUUGCUUACUCCCGGUUCUGUUUACCUGCUGAUACUUGCAUUCCUCUGGAUACCUGAGCUUUCCCUUAUAUCUAGACUACUGUCUACUGUGCAGUUGUUUCUCUAAAAAAAAAAUGGCUAACCACUUCAAAUCUUUCUCCUCUGUCUUCCUUAGUCAUUCUAACCUGGGACCUCUUUAUAAUAAACCCAUAACAUUUAUAUUAUUUAUUAAAGGACAGCAUUAGAGUUGAAAUUAUUCCUAUAUGUACUCUUUCUCCAAAGACCCAAGAGCUUGUUUUCUGUGAAAUUCUUAUGAAUAAUAGCAAAACAGUCUGCAUGUGAUUAGAGUUUAUAGUGCUCUUUAAAGGGUUCCCAAGUGCUUCUGUUAGGAAGGCUUCUCUACUCAAAUUGCAUGUGCCUCCACUCCCCCUUAAUGCUAUGUAGACUUUGCAUUCUGAGGACUGCUCUGUCAAUAAUGUCCUGCUCAGAAUGACUGAGACCUUUAUUCUGGCAAGUCAAUGUUUCAUGGACUUUGGGACCAGCAUUAAUACUUCAACUGCAUAUUUUCCUUAUGUUUUCUUCUUAAACAUUUAUAAAAAUUAAUUUUAAGUCAUAUUACAAAGGAAUGGCUUCCCCCACAGCCCACAGUCAGUGUUAUCCUAAAUGGAGAACAAUGUGAAGCAGUCCCUCUAAAAACAUAAACAAGUCAGGGCUGUCCACUGUCCCCACUCCUUUUCCCUAUAGUUCCUGAAGCAGUAACUGUAGACAAACCUACUUCAAUUUAAUCAAGGGAUCAAUCAAUUAAUAAAAUACUAUAGUACUAAGCAAAUAUGCACAAAACUCUGGUGCAGCCAGUUUCAUAAAAUCAUACUAAUGGAAUUAAAACUCCAGAUUAACACAAACUUCAUAAGAGGAGGCAAUUUCAUCACUCCAGUUUCUGCUAUAGAUGGGACAUCUGGACCAAAAAUAAAGAAACAGAUACUUCAGAAUUCAAUGAACUCUUUUAUCAAAAGGACCAAAGAGAUAUCUACAGAGUAUUCAACUCAAACACCAAGAAUACACAAAUAUACAUGCUACUCUGUAGGACAAUGUGCUUUCUCCACAGUGGAGCACCUGCUGCAACACAAACCUUAAUGAAUGCAGAAAAAUUGAAAUAAGUCCACAUAUCCUGCCCAGCCAUUGUGCAAUAUCCUUAAGAUUGACAGUAAACAAAACUCUACUAAGUAUAUACACUCAUGGAGAUUAACAGUUCAUUACUGAAUGAGAAAUAGGUCAAACAAGAAAUUUAACUAUUCUUGGAACUAAGUAAACCAGAAUCACAACAAGAAAACCCUUUGGGAAACAGUAAAAGCACUUUUAAGAGGAAACUUUAAAUUACAUAUAGUCCACAUUUAACAAAAAAAUAGAGUGCAAACCAAUGACUUAUUAUGCAACAUAAGAAUUUGGAAAAACAAACCAAAGUCAAGAUCAGUACAGUGUAAGAAAUAAUCAAUUUUUAAAAAUCAGGUGAAAGGGUUGGAGAGAUGGUUCAGUGGUGAAGAACAUUGUCUGCUCUUCCAGAGGUCCCGAGUUGAAGUCCCACCACCCACAUGGUGGCUCACAACCAUCUCUAAUGGGAUCUGAUGCCCUCUUUUCAUGUGUCUGAAGACAGAGCCCUCAUGAAUAUAAAAAAUGUAAUUUUUUAACAAAUCAGGUGACAAAGGAAGCCAACUAUCCAGGCCUAGUGAGGUCAUGGAUCUGAGAAGAACCUAUACUAAAACUUUAUUAAGUCAGCAUAAAACCUAACUAUAUUUUUUCAUUAAUUUAUUUAUUCACUUUACAUCCAGAUUCUGCCCCUGUCUUCCCACUCCUCUCCCUCACACAGUUCUUCCUCCCAACCGCCUCCCCUUCUCCUUUGAGAGGAUGGAUCCCCCUCAGUAUCCCCAAAUCCUUUCACAUCAAGUCUCUACAUAGCUAGGUGCAUGCUGUCCCAUUGAGGACAGACAAGGCAGCCCUGUUGUGGAACAGAUUUCACAGACAGGCAGUAGAUUUAGGGACAGCCCCCUCCUCCAGUUGUUGGGGGACCGACAUGAAGACCAAGCUGCACAUCUGCUACAUAUGAGUGCAGAGGCCUAGGUCCAGUUUGUGUAUGUUCUUUGGUUGGUAGUUCCGUUUCUGGGAACUGCCAAAGGUUAGUUGACUCUAUUGCUCUUCCUGCAAAGUUCCUAUCCCCUUCAGGCCCUUCAAUCCUUCCGUACCUCUUCCAUAAGAGUCCCUGACCUCCAUUUGGUGUUUGGCUGUAGGUUUCUGCAUCUGUUUCAGUUAGCUGCUGGAUACAGUCUCUCAGAGGACAGUAAUGCUAUGCUACUCUCUGCAAGCAUAACAGAGUAUCAUUAAUAGUUUCAAGGAUUGGUGCUUGUCCAUUGGAUGAGUCUCAAGUUGGGCUUGUUAUUGCUUGGCCAUUUCUUCAGUCUCUGCUCCAUCUUUUAUCCCUGCAUUGCUUAUAGACAAGACAAAUUUGGGAUUGAACGUUUUGUGGGUGGAUCAGUGUAUUUAUCCCUCCACCAAGGGUCCAGUCUGGCUACAGGAGGUGAUCACUUCAGGUUCCAUAUUCCCACUGCUAGGAGUCUCAACUAAAAUUGCCCCCAUAGAGGCUCUUGGUAGCCUCCCCCAUCCUGGGUUUCUGGCAGGUUCUAGAGAUACCACCAUCAUUAUGCUAUUUUUAAUUAUUUAUUUGCAUUACAAAUGUUACCCUCCUCCCAAUCCCCUCCCUUCCCCCCUCUCCCUAGACAUCCCCCUACCCUGAGGUAUCUAGUCUCUACAGGAUUAGGUAUGGCCUUUCUCACUGACACCAGACAAGGCAGUCCUAUGCUGCAUAUAUACCAGGGGCCUUGGACCAGCCUGUGUAUGCUCUUUGGUCGGUAGCUUGGUCUCUGGGAGCUCUGAGGGAUUCAGGUUAGUUGACACUGUUAGUAUUUCUAUGGGGUUGCCAUCCCCUUCAUUACCUUCUAUCCUUUCCCUAACUCUUCCAUAGGGGUCCACCAACUCAGUCCAAUGCUUGCCUGUAAGUAUCUGCAUCUGUCUUAGUCAGCUGCUGGUAGAGCCUCUCACAGGACAGCUAUGCCAGGCUCCUGUCUGCAAGCAUAACAUGGCAUCAGUAAUAAUGUCAGGGAUUGGUGCCCACCAUGGGAUGGACCCCAACUUGGGCUGGUCACUGAACAACCUUUCCUUCAGUUUCUGCUCCACUUUUGUUCCUGCAUUUCUUUUAGAUGGGUCCAAUUCUGGAUCAAAACUUUUGAAAGUGGGUUGGUAACCCUACCCCUCCACUGUAGACCAUGUCUAUCUACUGGAGGUGGUCGCUAUAGAUUCUAUCUCCCUAGUGUUGGGCAUUUCAGCUAAAGUCAUCACAAUUGAGCCCUGGGAGACUCACAUUCCAGGUCUCUUGGACUUUCUAGAGGUUCCCCCUAUUUCCACCCCUGCAGUAGCAUAUUUCAAUUCUCUUGGCUUUCUGCACCUGUCUCCUGUCUCCCCCAAUACCUGAUCCUGCCCCCCGCUUUUUCCUCUCCCCUGCCCCUCUCCUACCCAGGUCCUUCUUUCACUCUGCCUCCAGUUAUUAUCUUGUUCCCUUUUCUAAAUGGGAUUGAAGCAUCAUUGCUUGGGCCUUCUGUCUUGUUAAACUUCUUAUAGUCUAUGUGUUUUAUCCUAGGGAUUCUGUACUUUUGGGCUAAUAUCCACUUAUUAGGAGAGAACCAGCUAGACAAAUGUAUUGUCUGACAUGCACAUAGUGGCAUGUACACACACAUAAGCACAUCAGAAAUGUAUGGAGUGGUAGUAGUAAUUAAUAAUAAUAAAUGAUUUUAAGACCCACUAGAACUUCAGCCCCUUCUCCAACUGUAUUUGGUACUUAUCAUCAUCCUGACUACUUCUGAUGGACUCUCUCCUUCAUCUUUAUAUGGGUUCAAAGGACCCAACUCAGAUGGUCAGGCUUGCUCUGUAAAAGUCAUUUUGGCUGAGCCCUCUCUCUCUGUCCCAAGGCAACAAUAUUCUGCAGUAUGAUUUGAGAGUCUGCAGUUUAUGAGCAGCUAUGGUAAGAGUCUAGUGACUCUUGCCACUAUAUAAGAUUUUUUCUUUUUCUUUUUUGAAUUAAUUAAUUAAUUUUUACACACCAUAUUUUAUUCCCUCACAUCCACCCUAUGAUGGCUCCACAUCCCACACCUCUUCCCCAACCCCCUGUCUCCACAUAGAUGUCCCCACUCACCACCCCACCUGUACCCUAAAAUUCCUGCGGCCUCCAGUCUCUUGAAGGUUAGGUGCAUCAUCUCUGAUUGAACACAGAACCAGAAGUCCUCUACUGUAUGUGUGUUCGGGGCCUCAUAUAUCAUAUAUAUACCAUAUAUAUAUAUGUAUAAUAUAUAUAUAUAUGGUAUAUCCUGUCUGUUUUAUGGUCCAGAGUUUGAGAGAUUCCGGUGAUCCUGAUUAAUUGAGACUGCUGGUCCUCCUACAGGAUCACCCUUCUCCUCAGAUUCUCUCAGCCUUCCCUAAUUCAAUAAAAGUGGUGAGCUCCUUCUGUCCAUUUGUUUUGUGCAAAUAUCUGUCUCUGAUUUUUUUCAGCUGCUUGUUGGAUCUUUUAGAGAGCAGUUAUUCUAGGUCCAUUUUUGUGAGCACACCAUAGCCUCAGUAAUAGUGUCAGGCCUUGGGGCCUCCUCUUGAGCUGGAUACCACUUUAGGCCUUUCACUGGACCUUCUUUUCCUCAGGCUCCUCUACAUUUCCAUCCCUGUAAUUCUUUCAGACAGGAACAAUUAUGCAACCGAGGUAUGACUGUGGGAUAGCAACCCCGUCCCUCACUUGAUGCCAUGUCUUCCUGCUGGAGGUGGGCUAUAUACGUUUCCUCUCCCUACUGUCAGGCACCUCAUAUAAAGUCCCUCCCUUUGGGUUCUAAGAGUCUCUCACCUCCCAGAUCUCUGGUGCAUUCUGGAGGGGACCUCCAACCUCCUAUCUCCCUGUUUCCAUUAUUUCUGUUGGCACUCAGAGAGCUAUUACAUGUGGGUAGGGAGGAACCUGGGAGGAAAAGUGGACAGGGAAGGGGAUUGGGGGGGAGGGCAGAGGGGAACCUGAUGUGGUAUUGGGUGAGGGAAGAUAAGAUGCUUGUCUUCUAUAGAAGGAAAGUUUUCACUUUCCACAUAUGGAUUCGAACAUUGUGAUUUUUGCCUUCCUGUGCCUGCUGUAUCCAACAAACAUCUGAACCCUCAUCACUAAAAAGGAUAUGUUUUUCAGUCAAGAUGCCUGAGAAGGUUAUAAGCAGCUCCUUUCUUCUUCUUCAUGCCAUGGCCAGGUGGACAGGAUUUCAUUUGGAGGAUUAUCUGGAAGGCAUAUCACAUAAAAUUCUACAACAAGAAUAAAGAAUGCAUAUUAUUAUAGAUAAUGAGUGAGUGGCAAACAUAUACCACAUUCAGUUUGAAUGCACACUGUCCUGUAUUCCAUCCUAAUGCAGUCACAUGCCAUCCUAUGUACACACAUGCAGACACUUAUUUUUCCAUGUUUUACAGAGAUAACAGUAGACAGAUGGGGGGAGAGUUGUGCAGGUGUCUCCAGCAGUGAGCCUUGCUCUCAUUUUGGAAUGCAGUCUGUAGUCUUAGCAACCAACAGGGUUGUUUGGGAUUCCCAUGGCCAAAAACACAAUUAGAUAUAACCCGGUUCUGGUACCAGAAGGUCCAUUUGGUGGCAAGCGAUGCCAGUUGGGACUCUUUCCUAUUAUAUGGCAGUUUCGCUUAGAUUUCCAUACAUACAUACAUACAUACAUACAUACAUACAUACAUACAUACAUAUAUGACUACCACUCAAAUGCCCCCUAAUGUUAGGUGCCUUUCCCCAUAUUUCCCACACUCUAUCCUAUCUCCUUUCCCUCCCUCUUGAUUCUUCCAUUCUAGCUCUACAUAUCUAUCAGUAAUUAUUUAUUCUGUCUCCCUUUCCUAAUGAGAAGCAUCUGUCCCAUCUGGUCCCUAAUAGUACACCUACUAUAAUACUGUUAAUACUACUAUAGUCUCUGGUUCUUAGGUAUCAUUAACUUCACAGCUAAUAUAUGCAUACAAGUGAAUAUAUACCAUAUUUGUCUUUCUGAAUCUGGAACACAUCAUUCAUGUAUUCCUAAGUUCUGUCCAUUUGACUGCAAAUUUUAUGAUAUCAUUUUUAAGAGCUGAGUAAUUCCCCAUUGUGUAAAUGUACCAUAUUUCCUUUAUACAUUCUUCUGUUGAAGAACAUCUGGUUUGUUUCCAAGUUCUUGCUAUUAUGAAUACAGCAGUAUUUAACAUGGUUGUGCAAAUGUCCUUAGGAUAGGAUGGAGCAUUCUUCAAGUUCAAGGGUCCCCAGUAUCUCUCUCUUCUAUUAGUGUAUCUGGCUUUCUGUUGAGGUCUUGGAACAUUUGGGGUUGAGUUUUGUGCAGAGGGAUAGAUGUGGUAUAUUUAGAUUCUUCUGCAUGCAGACAUCCAGUUUGCAGUUUGACAGCACCAUUAAUUGACGACACUGUCAUCUUUCCAUUGUUUAAUUUUGGCCUCUUUAUCAAAGAACAGGUGUCCAUGGGUGUGUGGCUUUAUGUCUAGUACUUCAAUUAGAUUUCAUUAAUCAACCUGUCUGUUUUUUGUGCCAAUACCAUGCUGUUUUAAAUGCCCUACCUCUGUAGUUCAUCUUGAAGUUGGGAAUAAUGAGACCUCCAGCAGUUUUUUUUUCUUCUUCAGGACUGUUUUAACUAUCCUGUGGCUUUUGAGUUUCCAUAUGAACCUGAACAUUGUCUUUUUAAUGUCUAUAAAGAAUUGUGUUACAAUUUUAAUGGGUACUGCAUUGAAUCUGUAGAUUGCUUUCAAUAGGAAGGUCAUUUUUACCAGUUGAUGACCAUGGAAUCACUUUCCAUGUUAUGAUAAAGAAGACUUUAAUUUCUUUCCUCAAUGACUUGAUGUUUUUAUCACCCAAGACUUUCACUUGCUUGGUUAGAGUUACCCAAAAAUAUCUUAUUUGAUGUUACUGCGAAGGGUGUUGUUUCUCUGAUUUCUUGCUCAGUCCAUUUGUCAUUUGUUUAUAGGAGGGCUACUGAUGUUUUUGGGUUAGUUUUGUAUUCAGAUACUUUGCUGAAAAUAUUUAUGUGCCAUAGAAGUUUCCUGGUAGAAUUUUUAGGGUCACUCAUAUAUACUAUUGUGUCACCUGCAAAUGCAGAUACAUUGACAUCUUCCUUUCCAAUUUGUUUCCCAUUGAUCUCUUUCACUUGUCUUUUUAUUGAUGUAGCUAAGGCUUCAAGCUAUUGAACAAGUAUGGAGAGAGUGGACAACCUUGUCUUAUUCCUUAUUUUAGUGGAAUUCCUCUGAGUUUAAACUGCUUUUUUAUGUUGAGGUAUGCCCCUUGUAUCCCUAACCUCUCCAGGACUUUUAUGAAGUGGUGUUGGAUUUUGUCAGAGGUCUUUUCUGCAUCUAAUGUAGUGUUUAAUCUUUCACGUUGCUCAUAUGGUGUAUUACAUUUAUCUAUUCAUGUAUGUUUGACCAUGCUUAGAUCUCUGGGAUGAAGCCUGCCUGAUCAUGGUGCUUGAUUUGUUCUUGGAUUUGGUUUGCAAGUAUCUUAUUGAAUAUUCUUGCCUGUAUGGUUUUAUAAGGGGAAAUUGGUCUGUAAUCCUCUUUUGUUGUUAGUUUUUUAUGUGGUUUGGGUAUCAGAGUAAAUGUGGCCUCAUAAAAUGAAUUGGGCAGUAGUGUUCCUUCUGUUUCUGUUUUGUGAAAUACUCUGAGGAGUUUUGGCAUUAACUCUUCUUUAAAAGUCUGCAAAAGGGCUGGAGAGAUAGCUUAGCAGUUAAGAGCACUGACUGCUCUUCCAAAGGUCCUGAGUUCAAUUCCCAGAAACCACAUGGUGGCUCACAACCAUCUGCAAUGAGUUUUGAUGCCCUGUUCUGGUGUGUCUAAAGACAGCUACAGUGUACUUACACAUAAUAAAGAAAUAAAUCUAAAGAAAAAUAAAAAGGUCUGGAGAAAUGGCUCAGUAGUUACUGCUUUUUCAGAGGACCAGGCUCAAUUCCCAACACCUACAUGAUGGCCCACAACCAUAUCUAACUCCAAUUCCGGUGGAUAUACUGCGGACUUCUGAAAGCACCAGGCACACUGGCAGUGCACAGAUAUUCAUACAGGCAGAAGACUCGCAUAAAUAAGAUACUAAAGUUAAUUUUAAACUCUAGUCUGAUUGCACUCUGUGCUAAAACCAUCUGGUCCUGGGAUUUUAGGGAGUGGUGGGAUAUUUUAAUGACUCUUACUAUUUCAAUUGGAGUUACACAUCUAUCUAGUUUGCUUAUCUUGAUUUAACUUUGGUAAGUGGGAUGCACAGAGAAAAUUAUCAAUUUCGUUUGGAUUUUCCAGUUUGGUGAAGUACAGAUUUUAAACUAUGCCUUUAUGAUUCUGUGGAUUUCCUUGGUUCUGUUGUCAAAUCUCUCUUUCAUUUCUAUUUUUUUUUCAUUUGAACAUUCUCUCCUCACCUUUUAAUUAAUUUUGUAUAAGGGCUUUUCCAUCUAUAACUUUCCAAAGAACUUUGUUUCAUGGAUUCUUUGUGUUGCUUUGUUUGGUUCUAUCUUAUCUAUUUCUGCCCUGAAUUCGAUUUUUUCUUUCCAUCUACUUCUUUGCGGUGUGAUCUCCUCUUUUUAUUCUAGAGUUUUCAAUUGUGUGUUUUUUAUAUAAGCACUUAAUGCUAUGAAUGUCCACUUUAGAACUGCCUUCAAUGUAUUCCAUAACUUUGUGUAUGUUGGGUAUUUGUUUUCAAUCAGUUCUGCAAAGUCUUUUAUUUCUUGAUUUCUCUUUUGACUCAUGUAGUGGUUUGACAAUACCCCCAACCCACAGACCCAUAGAUUUGAAUACUGAGCACCAGGGAAUGGCUCUAUAUAGAGAGAUUAGAAAGUGUGGCCUUUUGAAGAAAGUAUGCCACUAGAAGUAGGCUUUGAAGGUUCAAAUGUCCACACCAGAGUGAGUGUCUUGCUCUCUCUCUCUCUCUCUCUCUCUCUCUCUCUCUCUCUCUCCUGCCUGGGGAUCAGGAUGUAACACUCUCAGCUAAUUUUCUAGCAAUGUGCCUUUUGGCUUCCCACCAUGAUAGUAAUGGACUGACCCUCUGAAUUAGCCCCUAAUUAAAUGUUGACUUUUAUAAAAAAAAAAAAAGUAUUGUCUUGGUCAUGGGGUUUCUUCAUAGCAAUAAAACAAUAAGUAAGAAAAGGAUACCAAAAAUUUUGCCUCUGAAUAAAGUUGAAUUAAUUAUGAAAAAAUCUUUUAAAAAUAAGAAAAAGCUUGAAUUUUGUGCUGGAUACUCCAAUUUGGAUAACCUGGAGUCUAGCUCUCCUUGCCAGCCAAGACUGUUCCUGGAGAACACCCAUAUACACCGCGCCCUCUGCUGGACAUGUUCUUAUCUUCAGUCGUCUCACAAACAGCACAGAAAGGCUAGGACAAUGUAGAGAACAAGAUCAGGGAAUCAUGUCUGCCCUCUAGAGGCUGAAUAGAACCAGGCUGACCCUCCAGAGAAGCCCCUGAGACAAACUGCACCCAGCUAUUUGGAACCACUUGGCACCUGCACUUUAGCCUCCAGAGACACCACCACAUGUGCAUCUCAGUCGUCAGAAUCAUCACCAUCUUCUGGAACAGUGAAACUGUUCCUGGAGGAUAGAGAGUCCAAGGAUCAACCACAACAGCCCUGUUGAGAGGCCCUCUCCUCUGAGUCUCCUGUGCUCUCUGCCUGCUGUGGGUCCCAUAGCUGCCUCUGCUCUCAAGAUAAAUUAGCAAACUGUUUAGAAAGGUGAUCAGACUGGAGAAUAUGUGAGGGGAGACUGGACAGAGGAAAUGAGAAGAGGAGGAGAGAGAAGAGUGCAAUGAUCAAACUUGAUUUACUCAAGAACCAGAGGGAAAAUCAGAAGAAUAUCUGAGGUAGUGCCAGGAAAAGGUGAGCCGAGCCAGACACAAUAUUGUUAGGAGACAGUAGAAAGAUAAUUGUGCUAACAGACUCAGAAGAUAGUUUGUGACAAGUGAGCCAGGAGAAGCUGAGCUGAGCACAUAAGCUAGAACCCUGUUUAUCAUUUGGAGCUGCUAGUGUUGGGGAAAGUGGGAGAAGGGGCUGUUUGAGCUCACUGUUGGGGAACUGAGGGAGGAGCAGUGAAGACACACUUUGGAAGACACACUUUUGGAAGACUCACUCUGGCCUGGAAACUGAGAGGAGGGCUGAUGUUUGCAAGAAAAGGGGACAGAAGAAUCUACAAAAUAGCAAGAGAGAAAAACUAUAAACAAGGAUGGGGAAUAAUUGUUUCUUCUUCUGCAAAAGCUCCAGUCUACUUCUCUUCUUACUUCACAUCUUUGAGGAUCAUGGCAUUACAUGGGUUCUCUACCCAAUGGCCUUAAGGAAGGUUGCCUUGCAGUAUGGCUAGAAUCAUGCAACUGCUCCCAUGUGACCAAGUUGCCUUCCUUAGCUUGCUCUGGGCUGUUUGCUUUACCACCAUGCUGGUUUGGAAGGGAAUGGUCCCCAUAGGCUCAUAGAUUUGGAUGCUCAGUGCCUACUUGAGAGGGAUUGAGUGGUAUGACCUUGUUAGAGUUGAUGUGUCACUGGGGGUUUAGGAUUUCGAAAGUUCAAGGCAGUUCAGUGUCCAGCAGUCUCUGUCUCUCUCCUCUCUCUCACCCCUCCCUUUCCCUCCCUAUCUCCCUCUCCUUCUACCACUCUGCCUAUUGAUCAAUAUGUAGAAUUCUCAGAUCCUUCUCCAGCUGCUAUAUCUUCCUGUGUCCGACCAUGUUUUCUGCCGUGAUGACAAUUAACUAAACUUAUGAAAUUGUAUGCCAGCCCCAAUUUAGUGUUUUCCUUUACAAGAGUUGCCUUGGUCAUGAUGUCUCUUCACAAUGACAGAAAACUAACACAGCUACCAAAAGUCACUUUUGUUUUUGAGCUUUGUACAUGUAAAUGAAUCUGACCCAAACA